GUCUAAAAAGGGGAUAUACUUGUACACCAGAUAAAAGGUUAUUUAAUCAGUAUAUUAUAAAAACACUAAAAAUCGCGUAAUAAGUAAAAAUAUGAUGUCAGAAGAUUUCCCAAGAAUAGAGGGUGUAAGAGAGGAGGGAGUUUAAGAAGUGGAAGUUUUUAUUAUUUAAUAAGUUUAUAGAUGACAUUAAAAACGAAACAAAAACAAAAACUAAGCUAGAGAUAAGGUACCUAAACCUACAAAACAGAAGCAAUACUAGCAUCGACAGAAGAAGAGAUCCAAAGAAGUGUAAUAAUCUGAUAUAAAGCUUUAAACAAAUUGGGUAAUGGAUAUAAAUCAAGAGAAAUCAAAAUUGAUGGUCAUAGCAAAACACAGAGAAUAUCUAAGUCCAGAUUGAAGAAACAAAACAUAAACAGGUGAAGACGUUUGAAUACUUAGGAAAGAUAGUUGAGGACACUGGCACACAAGACGUAGACAUAAAUAAAAGGAAAGAUAAGAAAAUCUUGUGCCAAUUCAAUGUUCCAAUAGUCUCUCCUCAGUAAUAUCUGUUGUGGACGUAAAAUACGUGAAGCAAAAAGUCGUCAUCUAGCCAAAGAGUGAAAUUGAAGGACUCGAAAAUAGAUACGACACGUUUUACAUGUAUAGAAAAGUGAAAGAAGUGGCUGGUAUCUUCAAUAAGAGACAAACUGCACUGCUACAUGAUGAACAUGGUGACAGAACGUAGCGACAGGUGUAGUGAUUGAAUUCGUUAUAGGAUGAAGAGGGUAAUUGUCUUUAUGGAUCUUUGGUACCUAAGCAAUAUAAAUUUGGAAAGCUUGCAUUAUAGAUAACUAAAGAGGUAAAAGGUUUAUAGUAACGUCAAACUAUGUGCAAUUUAAGCUUUAGUAUCUAAGCAAAAAUAUAAUGUAUUUUAAAAUCGCAUCAGUAGGCAAUUAAUGUUGUUCUGAAGCUAUUUCCUUGUGGCAUUUUUAUAUUCGACUAUUUUCAAUGGGAAAUAAGCCACAAUUUUUACUAAAAAAAAAAUGAUUUUAUUAACGUUUCGACGCCCAAGUCGGGUGUCGUAGUCAAAAUAUAAAAUAAUACUAAAUUAAACAAAAAUGUUGCUUAGUAAAAAAUUUUUCUAAUAAUUUAUUUAAUCUGACUCAUUUAUAUCGGCAAUUCAGACAUGCAUUAUACAAUUUAAAGUAGAAGACUUUAAAGUCUUCUACUUUAGAAUGAUAUUGCCAAUAGUGUUCCUGGGACGACUUUACUAAAAGAUAGUUCAUUUGAUUACAUGAAAUCAACCCAACUCAUGAAUAUCCACUUUUUUCCUGGUUUUCCUUCGUGAUUUACUAUGAAAUCUCUAGCGCGAGAAUUUUACCGCCACUGUUGCAUUUGGUUGUCUUUUUAAAGACAGAUCACAUGCUAUGAUUUUUGUGGGGGAUAUUCUUGAGUUGGGUUGAUUUCAUGUAAUCAAAUGAACUAUCUUUUAGUAAAGUCGUCCCAGGAACGCAACUCAUCAAUAUUGGCAAUAUCAUUUUAAAGUCUUCUACUUUAAAAUGUAUAAUACAUGUCUUAAUUGCCGAUAUAAACGAGUCAGAUUAAAUAAAUUAUAAAAGAAUUUUUUACUAAUCAACAAUAUUUUUGUUUAAUUUAGUAUUAUUUUUUUGGUAAAAUUGUGUCUUUUUUCCCAUUGAAAAUAGUUGAUUAGUAGGUAGUUUAUAUAGUGGUAAUCUACAACGUGCUGCUAUGUGCUAGUUUAUAUUUUAUUGAUUUCACUCCGUGAGUUUUA
rnacentral:misc_RNA from 1 species